rnacentral:rRNA from 1 species
GUUAGGAAUAUUGGACAAUGGGCGCAAGCCUGAUCCAGCCAUGCCGCGUGAGUGAUGAAGGCCUUCGGGUUGUAAAGCUCUUUAGUCCACGAAUAUAAUGACUGUAGUGGAAGAAUAAGCCUCGGCUAACUUCGUGCCAGCAGCCGCGGUAAUACGAAGGGGGCGAGCGUUAUUCGGAAUCACUGGGCGUAAAGCGUGCGUAGGCUGUUUUGUAAGUCAGAAGUGAAAGCCCAGGGCUUAACCCUGGAAUUGCUUUUGAAACUACAAGACUCGAAUUCGGGAGAGGAUAGCGGAAUUGUCAGUGUAGCAGUGAAAUGCGUAGAUAUUGACAGGAACACCAGUGGCGCAAGCGGCUAUCUGGACCGAUAUUGACGCUGAGGCACGAAAGCGUGGGGAGCAAACAGGAUUAGAUACCCUAGUAGUCC